GACGAACCGUGCGACCGUUGUUCGGAUUCACUGGGCUUAAAGGGCGCGUAGGCGGGCGACCAAGUCGGGGGUGAAAGUUUUCGGCUCAACCGGAAAAGUGCCUUCGAUACUGGUGGCCUCGAGGGAGGUAGGGGCAUGCGGAACUUCCGGUGGGGCGGUGAAAUGCGCAGAUAUCAGGAGGAACACCGGUGGCGAAGGCGGGUCUCUGGGCCAUUACUGACGCUGAGGAGCGAAAGCGUGGGGAGCGAACAGG
rnacentral:rRNA from 1 species